rnacentral:rRNA from 1 species
UACGUAGGGUGCAAGUGUUGUCCGGAAUUAUUGGGCGUAAAGAGCUCGUAGGCGGUUUGUCGCGUCUGCUGUGAAAACUGGAGGCUCAACCUCCAGCCUGCAGUGGGUACGGGCAGACUAGAGUGAUGUAGGGGGAGACUGGAAUUCCUGGUGUAGCGGGUGAAAAUGCGCAGAUAUCAGGGAGGAACACCCGGGUGGCGAAAGGCGGGGUCUCUGGGGCCGAUACUGACGCUGAGGAGCGAAAAGCUAGGGGGGAGCAAAACAGG